rnacentral:rRNA from 1 species
GAUGAACGCUGGCGGCGUGCCUAAUACAUGCAAGUCGAGCGAACAGAUGAGGAGCUUGCUCCUCUGACGUUAGCGGCGGACGGGUGAGUAACACGUGGAUAACCUACCUAUAAGACUGGGAUAACUUCGGGAAACCGGAGCUAAUACCGGAUAAUAUAUUGAACCGCAUGGUUCAAUAGUGAAAGACGGUUUUGCUGUCACUUAUCGAUGGAUCCGCGCCGCAUUAGCUAGUUGGUAAGGUAACGGCUUACCAAGGCAACGAUGCGUAGCCGACCUGAGAGGGUGAUAGGCCACACUGGAACUGAGACACGGUCCAGACUCCUACGGGAGGCAGCAGUAGGGAAUCUUCCGCAAUGGGCGAAAGCCUGACGGAGCAACGCCGCGUGAGUGAUGAAGGUCUUCGGAUCGUAAAACUCUGUUAUUAGGGAAGAACAAAUGUGUAAGUAACUAUGCACGUCUUGACGGUACCUAAUCAGAAAGCCACGGCUAACUACGUG